ACGCCGUUUUCCUUCUUUUUUAACACAAAACGAGUUAUUUGCCUCAGGAAUGCGUUAUGCGUAUAAUACAUACAGUAGCCAUGCUGUUUUCCGUCGCCUACGGAAGCCAGCUGAGGCCAAAACACUGCAAACUCACCCGCGCACGCACGCGCAGUAUCGGAUGGGAUUACAGGUCGCCUUAUAUCACUUGUAAAUAUUCUACAAGUCUCAGUUCAGGUAGCACUCCGGCAUGAAAAAGCACGUUAAAUUCCUUGAAAACAGCGAUAAAAGUCGUCUGCACCACAAAAAGUCUCUUCUGCCUUUAAGGCCUUUUGGUCUCAACCAUGUGCAAGCUGGUAA